rnacentral:rRNA from 2 species
UGGGGAAUAUUGCACAAUGGAGGGAACUCUGAUGCAGCGACGCCGCGUGAACGAAGAAGGCUUUCGAGUCGUAAAGUUCUUUUAUAUGGGAAGAUAAUGACGGUACCAUAAGAAAAAGCCCCGGCUAACUACGUGCCAGCAGCCGCGGUAAUACGUAGGGGGCUAGCGUUGUCCGGAAUCACUGGGCGUAAAGGGUUCGCUGGCGGAAAUGCAAGUCAGGUGUAAAAGGCAGUAGCUUAACUACUGUAAGCAUUUGAAACUGCAUAUCUUGAGAAGAGUAGAGGUAAGUGGAAUUUUUAGUGUAGCGGUGAAAUGCGUAGAUAUUAAAAAGAAUACCGGUGGCGAAGGCGACUUACUGGGCUCAUUCUGACGCUGAGGAACGAAAGCGUGGGUAGCAAACAGG